rnacentral:tRNA from 1 species
GAGGGUAUAGCUCAGGGGCAGAGUGUGUGCUUAGCAUGCACAAGGUCCUGGGUUCAAUCCCCAGUACCUCCA